rnacentral:rRNA from 1 species
GAUGAACGCUGGCGGCGUGCCCAAUACAUGCAAGUCGAGCGAACAGACGAGGAGCUUGCUCCUCUGACGUUAGCGGCGGACGGGUGAGUAACACGUGGAUAACCUACCUAUAAGACUGGGAUAACUUCGGGAAACCGGAGCUAAUACCGGAUAAUAUAUUGAACCGCAUGGUUCAAUAGUGAAAGACGGUUUUGCUGUCACUUAUAGAUGGAUCCGCGCCGCAUUAGCUAGUUGGUAAGGUAACGGCUUACCAAGGCAACGAUGCGUAGCCGACCUGAGAGGGUGAUCGGCCACACUGGAACUGAGACACGGUCCAGACUCCGACGGGAGGCAGCAGUAGGGAAUCUUCCGCAAUGGGCGAAAGCCUGACGGAGCAACGCCGCGUGAGUGAUGAAGGUCUUCGGAUCGUAAAACUCUGUUAUUAGGGAAGAACAAAUGUGUAAGUAACUAUGCACGUCUUGACGGUACCUAAUCAGAAAGCCACGGCUAACUACGUG